AUUAGAUUUUAAAAAUGCAUCGAUUUUCGAUGCAAAAAUGUUAUUACAGAUAGAGGAGAAACUGCGAGCUGAAACUGAGUAGAUAGAGGAGAAACUGCGAGCGAUUCUAAACUGCCUGAGGCUGAUGUGGAUGGAAAUGGAACAAUCGAUUAUAUUGAAUUUAUUACUGCAACCAUGCAUAGGCACAAGCUAGAAAGAGACGAACAUCUAUAUAAAGCCUUCCAGCAUUUUGAUAAAGAUCAGAGCAGAUACAUUUGUGACAGGAUGCCCGGACUGUUAAUUCUAUGCCGUUUGGAAGCUCCAUAGUUCCUAUUCAAAAAGAAUAGUCGUCAUUGGCUUGAAGAGGAGAGAGAAACUGAUUUGCUUGGUAGAAGAGACCUUUGUAUUUGCAUUGAUGGUGGGAAUAGCUGGUUGUUUUUAUGUUGUUAUUUUUUACCAAGAUGCCCGGGCAGCUUGUUAUUUUUAUAUUUGUUUAAUGGUGGGAGUAGCUGGAACACCAUUUGGUAACAAGAAAUAGUUGUAUUUGCAUUGAUGGAAAUGCCAAACAUCCACAAAAAUUGUAUUCUUA